AAGUCCCGCAACGAGCGCAACCCUUGUCUUUAGUUGCUACGCAAGAGCACUCUAAAGAGACUGCCGGUGACAAACCGGAGGAAGGUGGGGAUGACGUCAAGUCCUCAUGGCCCUUAUGGGUAGGGCUUCACACGUCAUACAAUGGUGCAUACAGAGGGUUGCCAACCCGCGAGGGGGAGCUAAUCUCAGAAAAUGCAUCGUAGUCCGGAUCGUAGUCUGCAACUCGACUACGUGAAGCUGGAAUCGCUAGUAAUCGCGGAUCAGAAUGUCGCGGUGAAUACGUUCCCGGGUCUUGUCACACCGCCCGUCAUACCAUGGGAAUGGGUCUUGCCAGAAGCCGUUAGCCUAACC
rnacentral:rRNA from 1 species